rnacentral:rRNA from 1 species
GCAUGGUUGUCGUCAGCUCGUGUCGUGAGAUGUUGGGUUAAGUCCCGCAACGAGCGCAACCCUUGUCGCUAGUUACUAACAUUCAGUUGAGGACUCUAGCGAGACUGCCGAGGUCAACUCGGAGGAAGGUGGGGAUGACGUCAAAUCAUCAUGCCCCUUAUGUUCUGGGCUACACACGUGCUACAAUGGUCGGUACAAUGAGAGGCAAUACUGUGAAGUGGAGCAAAUCACCAAAACCGAUCCCAGUUCGGAUUGUAGGCUGCAACUCGCCUACAUGAAGUUGGAGUUGCUAGUAAUCGCAGAUCAGAAUGCUGCGGUGAAUGCGUUCCCGGGUCUUGUACACACCGCCCGUCACACCAUGGAAGUUGGGGGUGCCCAAAGUCGGUUAAUUAAUCUAUCGCCUAAGGCAAAACCAAUGACUGGGGUGAAGUCGUAACAAGGUAGCCGUUCGAGAACGAGCGGCUGGAUCACCUCCUUU